CUUGCUUCUCUUGAGAGCGGCGGACGGGUGAGUAAUACCUAGGAAUCUGCCUGGUAGUGGGGGAUAACGUCCGGAAACGGACGCUAAUACCGCAUACGUCCUACGGGAGAAAGCAGGGGACCUUCGGGCCUUGCGCUAUCAGAUGAGCCUAGGUCGGAUUAGCUAGUUGGUGGGGUAAUGGCUCACCAAGGCGACGAUCCGUAACUGGUCUGAGAGGAUGAUCAGUCACACUGGAACUGAGACACGGUCCAGACUCCUACGGGAGGCAGCAGUGGGGAAUAUUGGACAAUGGGCGAAAGCCUGAUCCAGCCAUGCCGCGUGUGUGAAGAAGGUCUUCGGAUUGUAAAGCACUUUAAGUUGGGAGGAAGGGCAGUAAAUUAAUACUUUGCUGUUUUGACGUUACCGACAGAAUAAGCACCGGCUAACUCUGUGCCAGCAGCCGCGGUAAUACAGAGGGUGCAAGCGUUAAUCGGAAUUACUGGGCGUAAAGCGCGCGUAGGUGGUUCGUUAAGUUGGAUGUGAAAUCCCCGGGCUCAACCUGGGAACUGCAUUCAAAACUGACGAGCUAGAGUAUGGUAGAGGGUGGUGGAAUUUCCUGUGUAGCGGUGAAAUGCGUAGAUAUAGGAAGGAACACCAGUGGCGAAGGCGACCACCUGGACUGAUACUGACACUGA
rnacentral:rRNA from 1 species